AGACAUCUUAAGGAAUGAACAGUCUCUAAGGCAAAGGCUCAUUUGAGGAAUGCUUUUGGAAGGACCAGAAUUUGACCAAGCUAAUAAUAUAAUAUAGCCCUGAAUCCCAACAAUGGUACCUGCAUGUGCUACUCACUGCCACUCCACCACCUCUGCAAUGUGUCAUGGAGGACUUGAAUCAUCUCUGAUGGACGUCGGCACACAUCCCGCCAAGCAUCUGACAGAAUAAUCUGCAUGAUCUGCUUGUGAUUGACGCCAACCUGUUAGAAAUCAUUUGUCUCCAACAAACUGUUCUGAACAGUUUGUUUGAUGUAUUUGAUAGGAACUGGGAGGAGAAAAUAAUAAUUUAAUAAUGCAACAUGUCAGAGCUAAAUUAUUUUUUGUUAGGAAAACUGUGGUUUUGUCAUAUAUGUCGCUGAAUUAAACUAAAACAGCAAA